ensembl:lncRNA
UUAUGGUUCUCAGUAUACUGGUUGGACAGGUUGGUACAGAAAGGAACUAGUUAUUAUGGUUCUCAGUAUACUGGUUGGACAGGUUGGUACAGAAAGGAACUAGUUAUUAUGGUUCUCAGUAUACUGGUUGGACAGGUUGGUACAGAAAGGAACUAGUUAUUAUGGUUCUCAGUAUACUGGUUGGACAGGUUGGUACAGAAAUGAACUAGUUAUUAUGGUUCUCAGUAUACUGGUUGGACAGGUUGGUACAGAAAGGAACUAGUUAUUAUUGUUCUCAGUAUACUGGUUGGACAGGUUGGUACAGAAAGGAACUAGUUAUUAUGGUUCUCAGUAUACUGGUUGGACAGGUUGGUACAGAAAGGAACUAGUUAUUAUGGUUCUCAGUAUACUGGUUGGACAGGUUGGUAUAGAAAGGGAUUGUAAGACCCUACUUAUUUUCCCACGAAGGUUGAAUAGGCAGAGAGCUCUGUAAAUAUUGUACAACAUUUUGUUAUUCUUUUGUGUCUUUUUUUUGUUGCAUUUAAAUAUAAAAGUGGUUGGACUGCUCUGGGGAAUAA